UACGUAGGGGGCUAGCGUUGUCCGGAUUUAUUGGGCGUAAAGAGCGUGUAGGCGGCCAGGUAGGUCUGAUGUGAAAACUCGAGGCUCAACCUCGAGACGUCGGCGGAAACCAUCUGGCUAGAGUCCGGAAGAGGAGAGUGGAAUUCCUGGUGUAGCGGUGAAAUGCGCAGAUAUCAGGAAGAACACCCGUGGCGAAGGCGGCUCUCUGGGACGGUACUGACGCUGAGACGCGAAAGCGUGGGGAGCAAACAGG
rnacentral:rRNA from 1 species